AAGGUAGUUCAGGAGUGGAGAUAGAAGAGAAGAAAAAGCUUACUUCGCGUUCCCCGUAAGAGACCGAGCAACAGAGCUGCAAGCCGCGAAGUCUAUGCUAUCUUUGCAAACUUCAUUUGAAUAGCUGGCCCAAAUUCCACAAAAUGAAAAGAGGCUGAUUUCUGAGUGAAAGAUUUGAAGACGCUUGGAUAACCAGUG
rnacentral:lncRNA from 1 species